CGUUAUGGCGGGCCGUGCGUGGGAGACCGAAAGGUCUGCCGGGUCCCAUAGCCCCGGUUCGCCAACCCGCGCACGGUUCGUCUCCACC
rnacentral:antisense_RNA from 1 species